rnacentral:rRNA from 1 species
GAUGAACGCUGGCGGCGUGCCUAAUACAUGCAAGUCGAGCGAAUGGAUUAAGAGCUUGCUCUUAUGAAGUUAGCGGCGGACGGGUGAGUAACACGUGGGUAACCUGCCCAUAAGACUGGGAUAACUCCGGGAAACCGGGGCUAAUACCGGAUAACAUUUUGAACCGCAUGGUUCGAAAUUGAAAGGCGGCUUCGGCUGUCACUUAUGGAUGGACCCGCGUCGCAUUAGCUAGUUGGUGAGGUAACGGCUCACCAAGGCAACGAUGCGUAGCCGACCUGAAAGGGUGAUCAGCCACACGAGGACUGAGACACAGCCCAGACUCCUACGGGAGGCAGCAGUAGGGAAUCUUCCGCAAUGGACGAAAGUCUGACGGAGCAACGCCGCGUGAGUGAUGAAGGCUUUCGGGUCGUAAAACUCUGUUGUUAGGGAAGAACAAGUGCUAGUUGAAUAAGCUGGCACCUUGACGGUACCUAACCAGAAAGCCACGGCUAACUACGUGCCAGCCGCCGCAGUAA